rnacentral:rRNA from 1 species
GUGAGGAAUCUUCCACAAUGGGCGAAAGCCUGAUGGAGCAACGCCGCGUGAAGGAUGAAGGUCUUCGGAUUGUAAACUUCUUUUAUGAGUGAAGAAUAUGACGGUAACUCAUGAAUAAGCACCGGCUAACUACGUGCCAGCAGCCGCGGCCAUACGUAGGGUGCAAGCAUUAUCCGGAGUGACUGGGCGUAAAGAGUUGCGUAGGCGGUUAUGUAAGCGAAUAGUGAAACCUGGUGGCUCAACCACACAGACUAUUAUUCGAACUGCAUAACUCGAGAAUGGUAGAGGUAACUGGAAUUUCUUGUGUAGGAGUGAAAUCCGUAGAUAUAAGAAGGAACACCAAUGGCGUAGGCAGGUUACUGGGCCAUUUCUGACGCUAAGGCACGAAAGCGUGGGGAGCGAACCGGAUUAGAAACCCGUGUAGUCC